rnacentral:snRNA from 1 species
AUGCUCACUUUGGCAGCACAUAUACUAAAAUUGGAACGAUACAGAGAAGACUAUCAUGGCCCCUGUGUGCUAUCUAGCCCUGCCUUUUUUUUUU